CCUACGGGAGGCUGCAGUGGGGAAUAUUGGGCAAUGGGCGCAAGCCUGACCCAGCAACGCCGCGUGAAGGUAGAAGGCUUUCGGGUUGUAAACUUCUUUUGACAGGGAAGAGUAGAAGACGGUACCUGUCGAAUAAGCCACGUCUAACUACGUGCAAACAGCCGCGGCAAUACGGAGGUGGCAGGCGUUGUCCGGAUGUACUGGUUGUAAAGGGCGUGUAGCUGGGUUGACAAGUAAGAUGGGAAUGCCUGCGGCUUAACCGCAGAAGUGCAUUUGAAACUGUUGAGCUUGAAUACUGGAGAGGCAGAAGGAAUUUGUGGUGUAGCGGUGAAAUGCGUAGAUAUUA
rnacentral:rRNA from 1 species